rnacentral:rRNA from 1 species
GACGAACGCUGGCGGCGUGCCUAAUACAUGCAAGUCGAGCGGACCUCUUYKGAGGUCAGCGGCGGACGGGUGAGGAACACGUGGGUAAUCUGCCUUUCAGACCGGAAUAACGCCCGGAAACGGGCGCUAAUGCCGGAUACGCCCGCGAGGAGGCAUCUUCUUGCGGGGAAAGGCCCRAUUGGGCCGCUGAGAGAGGAGCCCGCGGCGCAUUAGCUNGUUGGCGGGGUAACGGCCCACCAAGGCGACGAUGCGUAGCCGACCUGAGAGGGUGACCGGCCACACUGGGACUGAGACACGGCCCAGACUCCUACGGGAGGCAGCAGUAGGGAAUCUUCCGCAAUGGGCGCAAGCCUGACGGAGCAACGCCGCGUGAGCGAAGAAGGCCUUCGGGUUGUAAAGCUCUGUUGCUCGGGGAGAGCGGCAUGGGGAGUGGAAAGCCCCAUGCGAGACGGUACCGAGUGA